GCUUACGGCCAUAUCAGCCUGGGUACGCCCGAUCUUGUCUGAUCUCGGAAGCUAAGCAGGGUCGGGCCUGGUUAGUACUUGGAUGGGAGACCGCCUGGGAAUACCAGGUGCUGUAAGCA
rnacentral:rRNA from 1 species